rnacentral:rRNA from 1 species
AUCUAUGGCCACACCACCCUGAAUGCGCUGGAUCUCGUCUGAUCUCGGAAGCUAAGUAGGGUUGGGCCUGGUUAGUACUUGGAGGGGAGUCCUGAGAACCUCGCGGUGGCACUAACCU